GAUGAAGAAGCAGCGAAAUGCGAUACUUGGUGUGAAUUGCAGAAUCCCGUGAACCAUCGAGUUUUUGAACGCAAGUUGCGCCCGAAGCCAUUAGGCCGAGGGCACGCCUGCCUGGGUGUCACACAUUGUUGCCCCAAUGCCAAUCGCCUCACUUUGCAGGUAUUUGCUCGGGGUGAAUGUUGGCCUCCCGUGAGCUCUGUCUCACGGUUGGUUGAAAAUCGAGUGCAUGGUGUCGGGUGUACCAUGAUGGAUGGUGGUUGAGUGAUGCUCGAGACCAAUCAUGGGUAACUCCACCAGAAUUGUGCUCGGUGACCCACAUGCGUCCCUUGGAUGCUCCCUAAGGAGACCUCAGGUUAGGCGGGGCUACCCGCUGAGUUUAAGCAUAUCAAUAAGCGGAGGA
rnacentral:misc_RNA from 1 species